UCCUACGGGUGGCUGCAGUCGAGAAUCUUUCACAAUGGGGGCAACCCUGAUGGAGCGACGCCGCGUGGAGGAUAAGGUCUUCGGAUUGUAAACUCCUGUCAUGCGUGAACAAGGUUGCCUGGUUAAUACCUGGGCAAAUUGAUGGUAACGCAAGAGGAAGAGACGGCUAACUCUGUGCCAGCAGCCGCGGUAAUACAGAGGUCUCAAGCGUUGUUCGGAAUCACUGGGCGUAAAGGGUGCGUAGGUGGCGUGGUAAGUCAGAUGUGAAAGCCCGGGGCUCAACCUCGGAACUGCAUCCGAUACUGCUGUGCUAGAGUACUGGAGAGGUGACUAGAAUUCUCGGUGUAGCAGUGAAAUGCGUAGAUAUCGAGAGGAAUACCAAAGGCGUAGGCAGGUCACUGGACAGUUACUGACACUGAGGCACGAAGGCCAGGGGAGCAAACGGGAUUAGAUACCCCAGUAGUCGC
rnacentral:rRNA from 1 species